rnacentral:rRNA from 1 species
GACAAACGCUGGCGGCAUGCCUAACACAUGCAAGUCGAACGGACAGAACAGGGAAGCUUUUCGGAGUGGAACUGGAAAGUUAGUGGCGGAUGGGUGAGUAACGCGUGGACAACCUACCUUGUAAAGGGGAAUAACCUCGAGAAAUCGAAGCUAAUACCCCAUAAUAACCUUGCUUCGCAUGAAGUAAGGAGGAAAGGCGGCCUUAGCGCUGUCGAUACAAGAUGGGUCCGCGUCUGAUUAGCUAGUUGGUGAGGUAAAGGCUCACCAAGGCGACGAUCAGUAGCCGGCCUGAGAGGGUGAACGGCCACAUUGGGACUGAGACACGGCCCAAACUCCUACGGGAGGCAGCAGUGGGGAAUCUUCCGCAAUGGGCGAAAGCCUGACGGAGCAAUGCCGCGUGAGUGAAGAAGGCCUUCGGGUUGUAAAACUCUGUCCUUAUCGAAGAGAGAGUGUUGUAGUAACUGACAAUACUAGGACGGUAGUUGAGGAGGAAGCCCCGGCUAACUAUGUG